AUGACCAAUUUUGCCAAAGGAGAGCGAAGCCGGAGCUCAGCUCUCACCCAGGAGGACCAGAAGGUGAGCGCCAGGCGCUCACUGCCCGCCCCGCGUGCCCUGGGCUCCAGCCUCCUUCCCUGGGUGACGCUUUAUCUCCUGGAAGCAGGCCCGUUGGAGUCUGGAGUCACCCAAACUCCGAGACACGUGAUCAAAACAACAGGACAGACAGUGACACUGAGGUGUUCCCCUAUGUCUGGGCACCGCAGUGUGUCUUGGUACCAACAGGCCCUGGGUCAGGGCCCCCAGUUCCUCUUUGAGUUUUAUGAAAAUAUGCAGAGAGCAAAAGGAAACUUCCCGGGUCGAUUCUCUCAGCACAGCAGUUCCGUGAUGCUCGCUCAGAGCUGAACGUGAGCUCCUUGGAGCUGAGCGUCUUGGCCCUGCACCUGUGUCCCCGCAGCUUCGCACAGCCCUGCUGA